UUCUGGUGGCCCAAAUGGUAAAGGAUCUGCCUGCAAAGCAGAAGACCUAGGUUCGAUCCACAGGAAA
rnacentral:tRNA from 1 species